AGUAUGUUACUUUUUUGUCUACUUUUCUUGUUAUUUAAAAAAAAAUCCCUGUUUAUCUAUCAGGAAUUUACUGAGCUUGAAAAAUCUUUAAGAACUAAAACUAAAAGUAAUACAGAAGAGAACUGCCCUCAGUCCACGCACCAGCCAGCUCCGUUAUGGCAACCCGAAGCCCCAGCAUUGUGAUUAGUGAUGAUGAACCAGGUUAUGACCUAGAUUUAUUUUGUAUACCUAAUCAUUACGCUCAGGAUUUGGAAAAGGUGUUUAUUCCUCAUGGAUUAAUUAUGGACAGGACGGAACGGCUUGCGCGAGAUGUGAUGAAGGACAUGGGAAGCCAUCACAUCGUAGCCCUCUGUGUGCUCAAGGGGGGAUAUAAAUUCUUUGCUGACCUGCUGGAUUACAUUAAAGCACUGAACAGAAAUAGUGAUAGAUCCAUUCCUAUGACUGUAGACUUUAUUAGACUGAAAAGCUACUGUAAUGACCAGUCAACAAGGGACAUAAAAGUAAUUGGUGGAGAUGAUCUUUCAACUUUAACUGGAAAGAAUGUCUUGAUUGUUGAAGAUAUAAUUGAAACAGGCAAAACAAUGCAAACCUUGCUUUCCUUGGUCCAGCAGUAUAAUCCAAAGAUGGUCAAGGUUGCAAGUUUGCUGGUGAAAAGGACUCCUCAAAGUAUUGGAUACAGACCAGACUUUGUUGGAUUUGAAAUUCCAGACAAGUUUGUUGUAGGAUAUGCCCUUGACUAUAAUGAAUAUUUCAGGGAUUUGAAUCAUGUUUGUGUCAUUAGUGAAAGUGGAAAAGCAAAAUACAAAGCCCAAGAUGAGAGUUCUGGAAGCAUCUAGAGUCCCAUUUAAAUCAAUAGUAAAAUGGUUAAAUGUUCUAGUUCUGUGGCCAGCUGCUUAGAGGGGCUUCUUGCGUGUAUCUUCUAAGAAUUUUAUCUGUUUGGUAUGUUUGUUAGAAAUGUCAUUUGCUGCAUUCCUAAAGUCUUUAUUUGCGCUAUGAGCCUCUAGAGUAUCAGUUCUGUUUGGGUGGAUUGUUUAACUUAUGAAUGAAAAAUCUCUUCAACCACACCACUGUUGGAUGAAAAUAUUGAAAUUGUAUUUG